rnacentral:misc_RNA from 1 species
AAGCCGUAACAAGAUUUUUCCGUAGGUGAACCUGCGGAAGGAUCAUUACCAAAUCCAAAUUCAACCUUUUGUGAACCUGCCUUGUAUUGUCUUUUGGGAGGUUAGUGAGUGAGUUUACUCGCUGCUCUCAAACAUGCGUUAACUUGUGUGAUUGGGAGCCUCCCAUUAGGUGCGUGUGUGUUGCUGCUGCUUUGCAAACAACAGCACAAAAAUAAACCAUAAUUCAAUUUUUUUCAUUUGAUUUUUUUAUUCAAAAAACAAAAUGACAACUUUUAACGGUGGAUCUCUUGCCUGAU